rnacentral:rRNA from 1 species
UGCGCAGGCGGUUUGUUAAGCGAGAUGUGAAAGCCCCGGGCUCAACCUGGGAAUUGCAUUUCGAACUGACAAACUAGAGUCUUGUAGAGGGGGGUAGAAUUCCAGGUGUAGCGGUGAAAUGCGUAGAGAUCUGGAGGAAUACCGGUGGCGAAGGCGGCCCCCUGGACAAAGACUGACGCUCAGGCACGAAAGCGUGGGGAGCAAACA